rnacentral:piRNA from 1 species
UAGAGGACUCCCUGUGCAUACCCACC